GAUGAACGCUAGCGACAGGCCUAACACAUGCAAGUCGAGGGGCAGCAUAAAGGUAGCAAUACUUUGGUGGCGACCGGCGCACGGGUGAGUAACACGUAUGCAACCUACCUGUAAGAGGGGAAUAACCCGGAGAAAUUCGGACUAACACCGCAUAAUACCACGGAGCUGCAUGGCUUUGUGGUUAAAUAUUUAUAGCUUACAGAUGGGCAUGCGUAACAUUAGAUAGUUGGUGAGGUAACGGCUCACCAAGUCAACGAUGUUUAGGGGUUCUGAGAGGAAAGUCCCCCACACGGGUACGGGAACACGGACCGGACGCCUACGGGAAGGAGCAGUGAGGAAUAUUGGUCAAUGGGCGAGAGCCUGAACCAGCCCAGUCGCGUGAAGGAAGGAGGUUCUAUGGAUUGUAAACUUCAUUUAUAUGAGAGUAAAGGGCGGUACGUGUACUGUUUUGCAAGUAUCAUACGAAUAAGGAUCGGCUAACUCCGUGCCAGCCGCCGCAGUAAGAC
rnacentral:rRNA from 1 species